AGAGUUUGAUCAUGGCUCAGGAUGAACGCUAGCGACAGGCUUAACACAUGCAAGUCGAGGGGCAGCACGGGAGUAGCAAUACAACUGGUGGCGACCGGCGCACGGGUGAGUAACGCGUAUGCAACCUACCUAUCAGAGGGGAAUAACCCGGCGAAAGUCGGACUAAUACCGCAUAAAACAGGGGCACCGCAUGGUGAUAUUUGUUAAAGAAAUUCGCUGAUAGAUGGGCAUGCGUUCCAUUAGGUAGUUGGUGAGGUAACGGCUCACCAAGCCGACGAUGGAUAGGGGAACUGAGAGGUUGGUCCCCCACACUGGUACUGAGACACGGACCAGACUCCUACGGGAGGCAGCAGUGAGGAAUAUUGGUCAAUGGGCGGGAGCCUGAACCAGCCAAGUCGCGUGAAGGAAGAAGGAUCUAUGGUUCGUAAACUUCUUUUGCAGGGGAAUAAAGUGCAGGACGUGUCCUGUUUUGUAUGUACCCUGAGAAUAAGGAUCGGCUAACUCCGUGCCAGCAGCCGCGGUAAUACGGAGGAUCCGAGCGUUAUCCGGAUUUAUUGGGUUUAAAGGGUGCGUAGGUGGUUUGAUAAGUCAGCGGUGAAAGUUUGCAGCUUAACUGUAAAAAUGCCGUUGAAACUGUCGGACUUGAGUGUAAAUGAGGUAGGCGGAAUGCGUGGUGUAGCGGUGAAAUGCAUAGAUAUCACGCAGAACUCCGAUUGCGAAGGCAGCUUACUAAGCUACAACUGACACUGAAGCACGAAAGCGUGGGGAUCAAACAGGAUUAGAUACCCUGGUAGUCCACGCAGUAAACGAUGAUUACUAGCUGUUUGCGAUACACAGUAAGCGGCACAGCGAAAGCGUUAAGUAAUCCACCUGGGGAGUACGCCGGCAACGGUGAAACUCAAAUGAAUUGACGG
rnacentral:rRNA from 1 species